AUUGAACGCUGGCGGUAGGCCUUACACAUGCAAGUCGAACGGCAGCGCGGUCUUCGCUUGCGCUUACAGGUGGCGAGGGGCGGGCAGGUGAGGGAUACGUCGGCAUCUGCUGUUGCUUGGGGGGUAAAGGCGGGAAAAUUACGCUAAUACAGCAUACGGCGUAAGGGUGGAAGCAGAAGAUCUUCGGCUCUUGCGCGAUUGAAUGAGCCGAUGUCGGAUUAGCUAGUUGGUGGGGUAAAGGCUUACCAAGGCGACGAUCCGUAGCUGGUCUGAGAGGACGACCAGCCACACUGGAACUGAGACACGGCCCAGACUCCUACGGGAGGCAGCAGUGGGGAAUUUUGGACAAUGGGCGCAACCCUGAUCCAGCCAUGCCGCGUGCGGGAAGAAGGCCUUCGGGUUGUAAACCGCUUUUGUUGGGGAAGAAAACCUCUGGGCUAAUACCCCGGUGUGAUGACGGUACCGAAAGAAUAAGCACCGGCUAACUUCGUG
rnacentral:rRNA from 1 species